UUAUUAGUUUGUUUCCUUCUCACCCAAAUGAAUCCCCAAAACCCCGGCUUAAAACCCUAAUUUAACACUCAAAUUAACCCAAAUUCUUUACAAAUCCUUGAAAAUUCUCAAAACUCCUGCUCUACAAUCAUCAUCGUGUUUAAAACUCCACUACAUUGCAGCGUUUCCGCUCCACAGAUUACUCCGUUUCAACUGAUUUCGAGCUGCAAGCUCAGUGCAAGUUACAUUAAGUGAUCUGAACAGGAUUACGAGCUGCUGAGUACCCGACCUGAGGCACUAUCACCGCCACGUCAUCGAUGAUUACCGAGCUACGAAGAAACUCCAACAUCCUUCUAUGUAAACUCCUUCACUCUACUCGAAAAACAAUCUCCCCUCCUCACUCCAAUUGUCAUAUACGAACUUAUGUCGAGGUGUACAUGAAACGGAAAAAAGAUCCAUACUUCGACUCUAUCGAUUCCAUUCAUAAGUCCCUCGAACUGAAGCCCGUCAUUGCUCUCAAAAACUUCUUCAUAUCGUCCUCCUCUUCUCCGCACGAUAAUUAUUCUAUUCCAAUCUCGUCCGUCUCCAAAAAAGGACCGGAAUUCGGCUUAAGCAUCAGAGUUUUACGGUUCUUGAGGAACUACCCUUCCUUCUUCGAGGAGUUCGAGGGCCCACUUUACAAUUUACCCUGGUUUAGACUGACCCAAAAAGCGGUCGAGCUCGAUAAAGAGGAAAGAUUGGUCUCCGAACAAUUUAGAGACGAUAUAGUCACUAGGUUAAAGAAGUUUAUAUUGAUGAGUGGCACAAGAAAGAUGCUUCCUUUGAAGAUAAUCAAGGGCUUUCGUUGGUAUCUAGGCUUGCCCGAUGAGUUUUUCAAGGACCCGUUGGAUUAUGUUAAAGGAUGCGGGCGUUUCGAAAUUGUGGAUAUAGAAGAUGGGUUGAAAGGGUUGUCUGUUUUCGAAGAGUCUAAUAAUGGAAAUAAACGUAAAAUAUUUUCAACUAUACAGAAGAAUGCGAUGAAUAGUGGAGUAUAUAGUGGGGGUGAAAACGAGGCGAUUGCGUUUCCUCUGUUUCCGUCUAAGGGGCUGAGAUUAAAGCAGAAGAUAAAAGAUUGGCUGGUUGAAUUUCAAAAGCUUCCUUAUAUGUCCCCUUAUGAAGAUUCCUCGUGUUUGAAUCCAGACAGUGAUGUAUCGGAGAAACGGUUAGUGGGUUUGCUGCACGAGGUGUUGUCGCUGUUUGUGGAGCAUGCUGCUGAGAGAAAGUCCUUUAUUUGUCUGAAAAAAUACUUGGGUUUGCCUCAAAAGGUUCACAAAUGUUUUGAGAGGCACCCUCAUAUUUUUUAUCUGUCGAUGAAGAAUAAUACGUGUACGGCUAUUUUGAAAGAAGCGUACUGCGAUGAGGUGGCUGUUGAGCCGCAUCCGCUGUCGAAUGUGAGGAAGAAGUAUAUUGAUCUGAUGAAGGAAUCGGUUGUUAUUUUGAGGAGUAAGAGGGGGAGUAAUAGUAGGGCUAUUAAUCAAGAAAAUGCCGACUCGAACGAUUUGGGUGGUGUAAAUGAUCGAACGUUUCAACUUGAAGCUAAUGUGCCAAUCGAUCAAGAUUGAUAUUAUCGAUCUCGUAAUCGAUCCGUUUGAAGUUGUGGAAAGUUGAUAUUUUUGCCUAGUACGAACGAGCUUGCUGUUGUUGGAUUUCACUAUCGUAUCUCGUGCUUCUAAUCACGAUUCAUUCUAAUAUCAACUGUAAAUUUUUCAUGGGGUUGGUGUCUCUUGAAAGAUGUCUCGGACGAGACAACAAAAAAAAUGGUCGGGUGAAGUCGAACAAACAGGUCACCUUCUUAACUAUGUCUACUGCACUUAGGUCUAAAUAUGUAUUUAUUCAAGUUUGGUGUUAGAAAAAAUGUUAUUCACUUGUAAAUAUGCUUUCAAGAUACCUGAAUUAAAAUCUUAGAAAGAAAAUUGGCCUUAUAAAUGAUCUUGCAUCACACGGGCACAGACAAAUACAGAUACAGACAUGUGGAAAAUACUAGUGUCCAUUUGUUUUCAAUUGGGUAAAUUAC